rnacentral:lncRNA from 1 species
CAUCGCUUUCUUUUCUUCCUCUGGAGCAGCUAUGGCGGCGGCGAAGACCCUGAACCCCAAGGCCAAGGUGGCCGGAGCGCAGGCGGCGCUGGCGUUCAACAUUAGCGGUGCGCGGGGUCUGCAGGACGUGCUGAGGACCAACCUGGGGCCCAAAGGGACCAUAAAGAUUCUUGUUUCUGGCGCUGGAGACAUCAAGCUUACUAAAGACACAGGAGUUGACGAUCAGCCCUGGCCAACAUGGUGAAACUCGGUCUCUACUAAAAAUACAAAAAUUAGCCGGGCACGGUCCUGCACAGUGCGCUGCUUCACGAAAUGGUGAGAGGUGCUC